rnacentral:tRNA from 1 species
GGUUCUAUGUUGUAAUGGUUAGCACUCUGGACUCUGAAUCCAGCGAUCCGAGUUCAAAUCUCGGUAGAACCU